ACAAAGAAUCAUGCAAAAAAGCCACUUUAAAUUGUGUGUUUACCAGAGAUGUUUCUUAGAAGUUUCUUUAAA